GGCCCGUUCGUCUAGGGGUUAGGACAUCAGAUUUUCAUUCUGGUAACAGGGGUUCGAUUCCCCUACGGGCUACCA
rnacentral:tRNA from 2 species